UACAGAGGAGCCAAGCGUUGUCCGGAUUGACUGGGCGUAAAGCGCACGCAGGCGGACGCGCGCGUGGGGUGUGAAAUCUGGCCGCUUAACGGCCAGGCGCCAUCCCAUACGGCGCGUCUGGAGCAAUGCAGAGGUCGGUGGAAUUGCCGGUGUAGUGGUGAAAUGCGUAGAGAUCGGCAGGAACACCCAGGGGGAAACCAGCCGACUGGGCAUUUGCUGACGGCUGAGGUGCGAGAGCGUGGGGAGCGAACCGG
rnacentral:rRNA from 1 species